GUUACCGAUAUGUGCAUGCUGUUUGCUUAAUGUCAUGCAUGUUAUUGCUGUUAUUCAUUGAAAUCCUGCCCCUUGCAUGCGGAGCACUAGUUCCUUAUCUGCAGCUCCCAAUGUUUAUUUCUCCUAGUUUCUCCCGAACCACAAUAUAAAAGUUGGCAGGCGCAACCUAUAAUCUCAUCUACAGCGUGGGAUACAGUAUCCGAUACUUUGAAAAUUCUGACUCCUUCUUGGAAAAGGGAAGUGCACAGUCUUUGCCAAAGGUAGGGGCCAAAGGAGGAGCUUCUCGAACUCAGAGAAGCAGGAGGGAAUUCCAGAAAAAGCUGAUCGGAAGACUUCGAAAAUCACAGCGAUUAGAAUGGAAGGAACCUUGAUGUCUCUCUCUGUGGGUGAAAGAAUCGAGAACAGAGAGGCUGGAACUUGUUCAGGCUGCCACAAAGCCAGAGACGUGGGGUCUGGCACUCUGGUCUCCCCGCUCCCUGCACCCACGUGGAGGGGUGGAAGGGGGCGGGAUUUCAGGGAAAGCAGAGUGCGCAUGCUCCUCCCUCUCCGGCCAGAGGCCAGAGCAGCUUUGCUGAAGUGUUUUCGGCAGGAGGCUCUUAGGAAGCGUUGGAAACCACCGCCUACCAGAACAUAGUGAUGGUUCUGGUUUCAGGCACCAUAUCUUUUGCAGGUUCUGCUAAUCCAACAAAGCUUGUUUACAGGGCAUUUAACAAAGACGUUUCCAGUUCUUUGAAACAGAACACACACACACACACUGCAGAUUCCACCAAACCACAACUCUACAGCUCCAUUGCUCCCUUUCACUCAAGCCCUUUAACUUGCAAAAGCGCCGAAGAUCCGAGUCCUGGACAUUCUGAAGUAUAAGAAGUUAGUCUUUUUUUAAUGCCUCUGUGCAAGGACACGUCUCUUGAUUUACCAUAAACAGCCUUGAGUUUUCACUAUAUGACCUCUGCAAAAUUCUCUUUUCAGAUUAUGGGCACAUAUGCAAAGUUCUAGUCAUAACCAUUCUAAAAACAAAACAUAUCAUAACAGUUUUAUCCUUGCUUAUGUUGUCUGCAAAGACUGCAUCAUUGACUUCUCAGAGCAACCCAAAUACGUUAACAGCAUUUUACAGAGAAAGUUAACCCAGAGACUGGGUUCUGUGCCUAUUGGUCAAAUAUAUAAUGAGAAGGACAUCUGAACCCAGACCACUCUGAUUCCAAGGCUGAAUCCUUAGCCACUAAGACCAAAGCAUGCCUCUCCCAUGAACAAUGAUUAUAAAUUCAUUUUUUAUUUGGCUGAGGCAUAUAAAAAUCACUCUAUUUUCUUUUUAGCAUCCCCAAAUAGAAGCAUCUUGCCUCACCUCGUAUUUAUCUGAAGACACACACAGGGAAUUAUUUCAAGAACAGCUAGGAUUGCCAUGAGCCUGCAAUAGUUGGAAGUCUCAUCCAGAGCAAAGGAAAGUAAUAGCUCCAGAGAUAUGGACAAGGUACCACUAGCAUCUGUCACAUUAUUUAUUCAGCAUUAUAUGCACUGUGCUAAGCACUACAGCAACAUAGUAAAGUAAGAAGAUGCUUUCCGUCUUGGAGAAAUUCAUAGUCUAAUAGGGAAACCAGACUUAUGAAUGGAUAAUAACUUUGGAAAUAACUUAUGGUGAUAUAACAUAUACUCAAUUAGCAUGAUGCACAAGGCAUGUUUUGAGCACAGAGAUGAGUCAGCGAAUCCAGCUCAUGAGGACCGGUUGGGCAGAAAAGUCUAACUUGAAGGCAUGACCCACAUGCUAAGCCUGGAAGGAGGAGGGGGUGCCAGCCAAACAGAAGAUGGUUGAGGAGCAGCUUGGGAAGGGUACUGCAGGCAGAAGAAACAGCUCAAGGGGUAGGGCACAGUCUAGAAUAACACAGCCGGUCCAAGGGAGUGGUGAGCUGAUCCAUUCAUCGGAAUGUAGAGCAUGAGGUGGGAGGGAGGCUGGUGAGCCCAUGGGCAGCAUUGUGUGUUACUCUGAGUUUGGAAUUCGUUGUAGAUGUCAGGAAGUCAUUUAAGAGUCUUAAGUUUCUUGAGUGACAUGAUCAGAUUUGCAUUUUGGGUGGACCACCCUGACCGGCCAUCAGCUGUUUCCUUCUAUCACCAAUGAGUCUCAUACAUGAGACGUCCUUCCGUGAGCUUAUCCAUUCUUGACCCCUUUCCCCUGUAAAUCACAUUCUUUAAAGUGACUUUGCUGCUUCUGCCGUCAACACACGGAGUCUGUCUCCCCCAGCCCCCCCGCCCCCCAACACACACACACGUUCAAUCUGGACUAGUUUGUGCUUUGCUUUGGCCAUUAGAAUAAGGUAAAAAUGACUGCCAGAGCCUAGCGAGACCUCAAGAGGCCACACCCACUUCCGCUCUCUCCCCUGGAUCCCUGACUCCCCCGUGCAAGCUGCAGGAGGGAGAGACCCUAUUAACCAGCCCUGUGGUCCAGCAGAAGCAUUAGACAUGAGAAAGCCCAGCCAAGGAGUGGGCUUCAGCUGACUCCAGGCAGACCACUGACACACUUAAGCACUUCAUGGCAUCCAGUGCGAAGUUCUGACCAACUGUGAGCUAAAUAAAGCAUUUUCAUUUCAAGUUGCCAAGUGUUGGGGUGGUUGGUUAUUCUACAAAAAGUACCUGGAAGGUAGGAUAACCCGGUAUUUGCUCUAAUCUCACAAAGAGUAAAUAAAUCAUUUGCAAGCCUUGGCGCUUUAUCCAUUAUAAGCAACAAGGUACUUUGAACAUGCUGGGCUGUUGCAACACAACGGCAGAGCAUGAUAAAGUGCAGCUUCUCAAAGUGCAUCCUGGAAAGGCUCCUGCUUCCAGGAAGAUGGAGCAGAUAGGCUUGGCCCUACUCCUCCAAGUCCAACUGAAAACGCUGGACCUUAUAUGUAACACAAACCCAACUCUGGAAGGUGGAAAGUAAAGGCAGACCAGUUAGGGAGCAUGGAAGCUGAGGAAUGGCGACUCUCCUGGGGUUUCUUUUUGCCUUGUGGAUUCCAGGUUUCAAGCUGAAGAAGCCACCUGGAAAUGCCAACAGACCCAGACUGAAAGAAUCCCAAUGAAAACUUGCUCUCUCCAGUCAAAGCUGUAGGAAAGGGACAGCCUAGCAGGACAAAACACUUCUAGACAAUAACCACACUCCUCUAGCCAACAUGACAGGAAGAACUGUGCCACUCCCCGUCCCCAACCUCUACCAGUAAAGGCUGCGUGGGAAGCCUAGACUUCUGCUCUUGAGAUGCUCUAAGGAGCACCUUAACCAGGGUGGUAUCAAAGAAGGACAAGCAGAUGCUGGGAUUUUCGUCUCAGGCGUCAAUGCGCUGCCUCCAUCUCCUGCCCUCCCGCUGUAUCUGCCGAGACCACAGGGGAGCCUGGACUUGCGCUUCCACCUGGCCGAAGGAGGUGCCCUCUUCCUCCCCCGGGGAUGGUGUCAGGGGAAGCCUAGUGGAGUGAAGCCAGACUUUCCUUGUUGCCAGCAGUAAUGAGCUGUCACUUAUCAGGUUCAUUACUACUGAGCCACAGCGGGAACUCCCUAUUCACUCUUUACCAUACAUUUAUCAUUGGUAUUAUGACAUUAACUUAAAAAAUAGGGAAUUGAAAUUCAAGAAGUUAAAUUUGAAAGGUCACAACUAAUAAGAGGUAGAGCCAGGAUUUGAUCUCAGAGUUGACUCCCAAAUAUCUGCUUUUUUUUUUUUUUUUUUUUUCUCUUUUUCUGGCUGCAGCUGCAGCAUAUGGAAGUUCCCGGGCCAGGGACUGAAUCCAAGCCACAGCUGCAACUGACACCAUAGCUGUGGCAAUGCCAGAUCCUUAACUCACUGUGCCACAGUAGGAACUUCUCUGCUCUUAAUUUUCCUUUUUCUUUUUUUGUUUUUAGGGCCGCACCCAGGGCAUAUGGAGGUUCCCAGGCUAGGGGUCCAAUCGGAGCUACAGCUGCUGGCCUAUACCACAGCCACAGCCACGCAGGAUCAGAGUCGCAUCUGCGACCUACAUACACCACUGCUCAUGGCAACACUGGAUCCCCAACCCACUGAGCAAGGCCAGGGAUUAAACCCACAACCUCAUGGUUCCUAGUUGGAUUCAUUUCUGCUGUACCACAAUGGAACUCCCUCUGCCCCCAAUUUUGAUGCAUUAUUCUCUCAGAGUAUGAUUAAAAAAAACCUCAAAAAGACAAAAGGGCAAACUAGGAAAGUGUUUAGAAUUAUAUCACUGUCAAAGGGUUUCAUUUAUUACUAUAUAAACAGCUAAAUAAUAAACUUUUGCUAAUAAAACAAUGGGAAAAUUAUUGAUACCUCAAUUCAUGAGAAUGGCUAAAGGACAUCUGAACGUGUUCAGAUUCAAACUGCAGUUUUAAUAAAUCUAUUAAAUAGGCAAAUGCCAUUUUUCUCUAUUUUUUUCCCCGAAUGAGAAAAUCCUACAUCCACUCCUAAAACGGCUCUUAUGAAAUAGGCACUCUCAAACAGCUGCUGUCAUCAUUAGUGGCAAUGAGUUUGCGUCAGGGAAUUUGCCUUAAAAUUCCUACCUUUUGACCUGGUUGUUUAAUUUCUAAGAAUCGAGAAAACUUAAAAAAAUGAAUCAGAUACAUAAACAAAACCUUAUAUUCGAGGAUGUUUGUCACAGCAUUAUUUAUAUGAGCAAAACUAUGAGAAGAACAUUCAUAUCUGUCCGUAGAGAAUGGUUUAAGAAGUAAGGGAUGGGCGUAUGGGUGCCGUCAUUACGGUCAUGUUUUAGGAAAGUGAUGGUAUGAGAAAAUGCGUAUGACAAAUUUUUAUGUGAAAAAAGUCAGGAAACCCCCAAUUUUAUAAAAGCACAAUAUGUGUGAAUGUGAAUAGGUAUAUAUAUACAUAUAUAUCUUUCAAAGGAAAUGUGUCAAAAGGUCAAGUGUGUCUCUCUCAUGAAUAAUAUUCAUUUUCUUUACCUAAUUUCCAAAAUGUCUGCAGUGGUGAUUCAGGAAAAGCAGCAAUAGUUUACUUCCCACUGCUCUUUAAGUUCCAGCGUCUUUGAUGUGACUACCAGCAAGUCCCUGUGUUUCAAUCAGCACCUUAUAGAUGGCACCCAACUAGUCUCAAGCAGCGUGGGGGGGACUCCUACUUCAGGGAGUUCCCAGGGUCAUGGGGGAGGAGAGGGUGUUGAAAGAAGGCAGGGCAUCAGCAGAAAUCCUCUCCCUACACGGAGAUUAGUCAGCAGCCAGGGUGAAAUGGGAGAGCACUGGGAUUUGGCUUCCCCCACCGAAGCCGCCCCAGCUCCUUCUGUUCACCACGGACAGACUCUGCAGUCACAUGGCCACCAGGUGACAUGUGUGAGUGGAAAACCAGUGGCUGUCAAAGUAUUUUUGCCAAUUUGUUGAAAGGAGUAAUGAUAAAACAGAAUGGUCGUGGUGGCAUGAUGUAAUUUGAUAGCCAGAGGACACCACUGUCCGUAGCAAACAUCAUUUAGACUUGUUAACAAGUGGGGAUGCUGGGCUUUUCUAUUUGCUGUGAAAUUGCCCAGCACAUUGAGUGUAUAAAGAUUUUUUAGUGAUGGGUGUCUAUUAGGCAUCUUAAACGUCGCUUUUCUCCCAUCUACACAUCUCUUGGUUUCUUUUGCCAUAUCUGUUCUUCACUCUCUUUUCCUCAUCUCAGGAAAAGCUAUUUUUAUUUUUACCUUGCCUUAAAAAAAAAAAAAAA
rnacentral:lncRNA from 1 species